rnacentral:rRNA from 1 species
GAACGGCAGCGCGGGAGCAAUCCUGGCGGCGAGUGGCGAACGGGUGAGUAAUAUAUCGGAACGUGCCCAGUAGUGGGGGAUAGCCCGGCGAAAGCCGGAUUAAUACCGCAUACGACCUGAGGGUGAAAGCGGGGGAUCGCAAGACCUCGCGCUACUGGAGCGGCCGAUAUCAGAUUAGCUAGUUGGUGGGGUAAAGGCCUACCAAGGCAACGAUCUGUAGUUGGUCUGAGAGGACGACCAGCCACACUGGGACUGAGACACGGCCCAGACUCCUACGGGAGGCAGCAGUGGGGAAUUUUGGACAAUGGGCGCAAGCCUGAUCCAGCAAUGCCGCGUGCAGGAAGAAGGCCUUCGGGUUGUAAACUGCUUUUGUCAGGGAAGAAAUCUUCUGGGCUAAUAUCNCCGGGAGGAUGACGGUACCUGAAGAAUAAGCACCGGCUAACUACGUG